rnacentral:lncRNA from 1 species
GCUGGGUCAAAGGUCAAUGCAUAUGUAAUUUUGUAAGAUAUUGCUAAAGUUCCCACCAGCAACGUGGGAAUACUUCUUUCUUUAACCUCGCCAACAGACUAUGCUGUCACACUUUUGGAUCUUUGCCCAAUUUGAUAGAUGAGAAAUGGUAUCUGUGUCUUUUUAAUUUAUAUAUUUCCAUCACAGGUUGAAUUCCCUGGGAGCAGACUCUGAGACAGAGACUGGAAGGAGGGAGAAGAGGGAGGACUGGGUAGAGGGACAAGUCCGCCUGUGACUCAACCUCAACAGAGAGCCCAGCUGAGCCCACAGUGACCUCUAGGGCUGGCAGGGCCCUUCAGAGAGGCUGCGUAGGAAUGAUGGGCCUGGCUGUUCUAUCCCCGUGUUAAUCCAUCACUGAGUGUGGGCUGCUCCGGAAGGAGGUGUGACCUUUGGUGAGGCAGUUUUUUUCCUGCCAAGGCAAAUCCAUGGGAGGGCGGACAGCAGAGGGCCAUCCUCUGGUGGCACUUUCCAUCAUAGGUAGGGAUUAUGACAUUUAUUUCAGAAAGACAAUCUGGGUGACACAUCACGGCAUCCACCCUCAUUGCUUAAUUUACCUAUAAUAUCUACUUUAAUGAUUUUGUUUUCUACAUACUAUCUAUCUAUCUAUCAUCUAUCUAAUCUAUCUAUGUAUCUAUCAUCUAUCAAUUAUCUACCUAUCAUCUAUCAAUCACCUUUCUAUCUCUGUUAUCUAUGUAUCUAUGUAUCUAUCUAUCUAUCUUAUAUCUAUCAAUCAUCCAUCAUCUAUCAAUUUUCUUUGUAUCUAUCAAUCAAUCAUCCAUCUAUCUCUCUCAUCUCUCUCUUCUAUCUAUCUAUCUAUCUAUCUAUCUAUCUAUCUAUCUAUCUAUCUAUCUAUCAUCUAUCUAUCUCUAUCAUCUAUUUAUCUAUUUAUCUAGUUGAUUUGUCUUGGAUUGAGACAGGUGUGUUAAAUAUUCUUAUUUUUUUUUAAAACAACAUGUUUCUGUAUAUUUCUCCUGUCAUCUCUUAUAUUUUCUGCUUCAUGACAGUUGUUGCUAAGCCACUGCCAUAUAAGUGGCACCUACUGUUAGAUCUCCAUCAUGAUUGCAGACUUUGGGAUUCUGUAGCCUCCUUCUGUGUCUCAUUUAAUGCUCUCUGGUCUGAAUCCUGCCUUGUUGGAUAUCAAGAUGGUGACUCAUAAUUUCUUUUAAUUUUUAUUUGCCUGUUGUAUCUUUCAAUUAUACUGAACAUUUUGAUAAGCUUUUAUUUUUAAACUUUUGCAAUCUCUUUGUAUUAGUAUUGCCUCUGAUAUAUAGUAUAAUAUUGGAUUUUUCCUUUUUUGCCAAUAUGGAUACCUUUUUCUUCUAACAGCUGAGUUAAGCCCCAUUAUAUUGAUUGAUCUGAUCUAUGUGUUUGACCCCAGUUGUCACAUUGUUUUAUUAUACAUAUCAUUGUAUGCACAUAUCUAUGUCUAUAUCGAUAUAUCAAUGUGAUCAAUUUUUUUAGCUUUCUUUUG